GUCGGUCCCGCAGUUAGUAAGCGCCGCGACGUCCGUCGAGGAUGCGGUAUACGGCGUUCCUGCGUCGGGAUCGUCGGCACGUGGCUACUCGAAGUCGGCCUGAUUUAUCUGGGCACGAAGGAACGACUUGUUCCAAUUCACGAUUGUUUUCACCGCGCGAGUUCUCUUAUUAAAACGGCGGGAACGGGUUCCAGAGAAUGUGAAUGUGUAUUUCGAUGCGUCGUCGAGGUACCGGUUCCCUGUCUCUAAGGAUGAUUGACAUUCAAACCGAACACCGUAGAGGAGCGAAGACGUUCGUUGGAUCGUCAGGAGGGUCGCGGACGAACGAGGAAUAAAAUUGAUCGGGUCGACUUGAAAUAGCAAUUAAAUACACGCGAAGUCCGGGUGCACGAUGCCAGAAGAAGACGCGACUCCUAACACAAAAGUCCGUUCGAAAUUCGCGAGAGAGCAAUCUGGAUGCUGCGCAAUUGUGUAAGCCAGCGAAUGGUGAAUUAUUCGUCAAACGGAAUUCCUGAAACAGAGAGCUACGAAACGUUCCAUCCAUUCGCCGGCUGAUUAUAUUGAGGAUAAUGAACGACAGAAGUCGCCGGGCGGUCUGAAGACUUUGUGGAACGCAAAUCCGAGGUGGAGAGGACGACGUCGAGGACAUGUCCUGUGAGAAAGCGUCGCGACGCCUCAGGUUCUUGCUCGGCAAGGCCAAGAGGCUCGGGCUAAAUACGGACGAAGUCGCCGAGCUACCGGCGAGCAAGAGACUCUUGUCUACCCGAGUCACUUCCGCCUCUAACACAUGGACAAUCCUAGCCAUGAUCGCUUUGAUCCUUGCCGGCGGUAUUGUGUUUGCCUUCCUCUGCGCGCCGUGUCUCGUGAAAAGCGCAGCGUGAGGCACUUUCCGAUCCGCCGAGACUCAACAGAUCUCACGAGGGAUAAUUGGACGGGUGUCGCAAGAUUCGACUAUUAGCCAAACUAAUUAUAACCAGUGAUCUUAUUUUCACGGAGCUUCGAAGAAGUUCCCGAGUUUCGGAACGCUUUCAGUUUGAAACUUCGCGAAGGGUCCGCGGAGUUUCCGCGACGUCGCCGCGACACCGUCAACUAUUAAUUAACGGAUUAUCGUUUCUGGUAACAAUAAUGUUUAGUACGGAGCGUCGAGAGGAUACGAUCGGCAGCGGCGCGGCAAUGGGAAAACCUCGACGGACACGCGACGUGUACGGUGCACGAGAACGAAAUAGUUUUCGGGGGAGAACGUCCGGUUUCGUUGUUGGCCGAUUCGAACAUUGCUCAAGCGGAUGAUUUUUUAAACAUUGUAUCGUGCGACGGGUAAAGCUUUAGUUUUAUAUGUGAUGGAAUAAAUUUUUAGUAACGUA